AUUCUAGGUUUAGUUCUAAGCUUAAAAUCAUAAUGUUCUGUUAAACCUCUUAAAGUUUUUCUUACCCAAUAGUCUUCAUCUUGAUGAAAAGAGGGAGAGAGGGGUGGAGACGGAGGGUGUCUCAAGGUUUGCGGAGGUGAUGCAAGAGGAAGGGGCCAGCAUGUGGAACUCCCUGAAGGUUAAUGAACGGAACCUCACGUAUGUCUGACAGAGACAGUCCUACUCCGUAACAGCAACAACAUCAAAGUUUCACUAUUGACAAGAAAAUUAAAAAUAUUCUGCCUAAGAGUUCUCAGCAUCUCAUAUAAAAGGUUCGUGAUACACAAUUUUCCUC
rnacentral:lncRNA from 1 species